CUUCUCAGAAAAAUAACUACUUCAUCACUGUUAUCUGUGGGAGUCUGAGCUGGUCUGAGGCCAGCAAAGGUCACCUUCAGAGUUCCUGGAAUAAAAAACAGCAACAAAACAACAGAAUCUUGAACUGGCAAUGUGUAAAUGAUGAGAGGAACAGGAAAUCUUCGAUGUUGCAGGAUGUAUUUGCAUGGAGCAUUUGCCUCUCUGCUAACCCAGGGUGAGGGCUGCCACCUAAUUAAAUAAUCUUCUGUCCUGACCCUUCAAAGGCUGUAAGCAGCUUUUCCCAGCAAAGCAGUUUGCAGUGCCAUCAUGUGUGUGAAAUGGAAUAAGUUGUUAGAGCUUUCAAGGAAGAUGUAAUGCAGCACAAUCAGACAUAUCCAUGCAAAUGAACAUUCAAGGCCCUCUCAGCUCAGGACGUGGGACUACACUGAGGUGUCAACUCUCUGCUGCCCUCUGUGCCUUUCCAUGCUGGGCUCCUGCUGCAAAGAGGACCACCUACCUGCAUGUUGACCUGGAUGGGCUGUCUCUCCCCACUCUUGGUGUGGGGCACCCCUUCUGUGUCGUAGAUCCCUGUGUAAGAGGCCACUUGUGCAUCCCUCGAUUUCUCUUCCAGUGGGACAUUGACACCCCCGAUGCCCAUCGUCCUGCAAAGAGAUGGGAUGCAUCCUUUCAGCAGCCCUGCAGGCCCCCUUCCUAGCAGCAUGGAGCCAGCAGCUUGAUGGUGCGGUUCUGGCCGAAACGCUGCCCGUCCACCUUGAAGUACACCGCCCCGUCGUUGGGCUGGAUUUUGAGGGCGACGCUGAUUUUCACGAGGCUGGGGAUGUCAACCAUCGCGCGGCUGCGGGGUCUGCGCCCGUCUCGCCCCCUCCACGGAAGGCGGCCAGCAGAGGAGACCGAGACGGCGAGGGAGAGGAAGAGGAGGAGGGAGGAGGAAGAGGAGGGGCUGCCGGAUCCGAGCCAGCCCAGCCCUUCCCAAAAGCAGCAGAUGAUAUAUUUGUUUUUCCCUCCCCCGCUAAUCACGGCGCAGCAUCUGUACUGCGGAUCUUCCCUCCAUCUCCCUGUUUGGGGGACAUUUGCAGCUGCUCAAAUCGACGCGGGUUUCCAGGGAGUUAAUCCGGCCUCGGUUAUGGCAGCCUUAAUCCCGCCGUCAUUCCCGGGCCGGGCAGGGCAGGGCAGGGCGGUUCAGCACCAUGGGCGCGGACAGCAGCGCAGCUCUCAGCGGUGCAAUCGGGCGCGAUUUCUUCUGGCAUCUUCCGUUACCGCCUUAUCCCAACUCUCAUAUUAUCGCAGGAAAAAAACCCAACCAGACAACAGCAACAACAAAAGACAAACAAAAAACCAUAAUGUACCAUUUCUCUAAAAAGAAAGAUCUUUGAAACUGGAAGUUGUUACUUCCAGUUCUCAGCUCUCCGCCCAUCUCAUUCCAGAACGUUUGCAGAAAUUACUUUUCACCCAGGAGCAGAAGAUUUAGGCAUCCUUUCCACUCUUUUGCAUUUAUUCUUUUAAAACUGCAACGUUGGCACAGUUGGGACAGGAUUUGGGCCAAAAAACCUGUAUUUUUAUGUAAUACUGCUAAGUCAAAUGGAACAUCUGACAUUACCCAGCUGCUUUUCUUUCUGUGUGCAUGUUAUCAGUCUAUUAAUUUAAUUUUGAACAGUAAACAAAAGAAUACAUGUUGCUGAAAACUCGUGCAAUGUAAAUCUCACUAUAUUUGCCUUAAUUACGU
rnacentral:lncRNA from 1 species